CCCAGGCAACAGAGUGAGACUCUGUCUCCAAAAAACAAACAAAUAAAAACAAACAAAAAGAACAUCUAAGAAAACCUACCAGCAAAGUCUGGAAUUAUACAUAAUAGUGAAAGACAACAUUUUUUCUCUGAGAUCAGGAAUAAGGCAAGAAUGUCUGCUCUCAGUAAGUGAACAUAUUACUGAAAGUUUCAGCCAACAGAAUAAGGCAAGAGAAGGAAAUAAAAGUCAUAUAGAUUGAAAAGGAAAAAAUAAAGCUGUCCCUAUUUGUAGAUAUGGCCUAUUUGUAGACAACAUGAUGGUUUAUGUAGGGAAUCUCAAGGAAUCUACAAAAAAUUCUGUAGUAAGUGAGUUCAACAAGGUCUCAAGAUACAAGAUCAACACAUAAAAGUCCCUCGUAAUUCUACAGGAAAGCAAUGAACAUGUGGAAACCAAAAUGUAAAAAAUACAAUACCAUUUAUAAUCUCUCAAACAUGAAAUACCUAGGUAUAAACCCAAUAAAACAUGCAUAUGACUUACAUGCUAAAAACUAUAAAACACUGAUGAAAGAAAUUAAAGAAGAUCUAAAUAAAUGGAGCGAUAUAACAUAUUCAUGGAUUGGGAGAUUCAACAUAGUACAGAUAUCAAUUCUCCUCAAAUUGAUAUUCGGGUAUAACACAAUUCCUAUCAAAAUCCAAGACUUGUUCUUUCCGCUAUCUUUCCGUGCUGCCAUAAUGGUGCGCAUGAAUGUCCUGGCUGAUGCUCUUAAGAGCAUCAACAAUGCCGAAAAGAGAGGCAAAUGCCAGGUUCUUAUAAGGCCGUGCUCCAAAGUCAUUGUCCGGUUUCUAACUAUGAUGAUGAAGCAUGGUUACAUUGGCAAAUUUGAAAUCAUUGAUGAUCACAGAGCUGGGAAAAUUGUUGUGAACCUCACAGGCAUGUUAAACAAGUGUGGAGUGAUCAGCCCGAGAUUUGAUGUGCAACUCAAAGAUCUAGAAAAAUGGCAGAAUAAUCUGCUCCCAUCCUGCCAGUUUGGUUUUAUUGUAUUGACAACUUCAGCUGGCAUCAUGGACCAUGAAGAAGCAAGAAGAAAACACAUAGGAGGGAAAAUUCUGGGAUUCUUUUUCUAGGGAUGUAAUACAUACUUACAAAUAAAUUGCCUCA